GACGAACGCUGGCGGCGUGCUUAACACAUGCAAGUCGAACGGUGAAGCGCCUUCCUUUUUGGUGGGUGUGGAUGAGUGGCGAACGGGUGAGUAACACGUGAGUAACCUGCCCCCUUCUUCUGGAUAACCGCAUGAAAGUGUGGCUAAUACGGGAUAUUCUGGGUCUGUCGCAUGAUGGGUCUGGGAAAGAUAUUGUUUCGGUGGGGGAUGGGCUCGCGGCCUAUCAGCUUGUUGGUGGGGUGAUGGCCUACCAAGGCGGUGACGGGUAGCCGGCCUGAGAGGGUGGACGGUCACACUGGGGCUGCGACACGGCCCAGACUCCUACGGGAGGCAGCAGUGGGGAAUAUUGCACGGUGGGCGCAAGCCUGAUGCAGCGACGCCGCGUGAGGGAUGGAGGCCUUCGGGUUGUGAACCUCUUUCGCCAGUGAAGCAGGCCUGCCUCGUUUGUGGGUGGGUUGACGGUAGCUGGAUAAGAAGCGCCGGCUAACUACGUG
rnacentral:rRNA from 1 species